GGUUUGGUUAGUUUAAUAAGAAUGUUAAUUUGUGGAAUUAAUGGUAUAAGUAUAUACUAAACCC
rnacentral:tRNA from 1 species